GUGUAGGACUAAUCAAUGAAAGGGAUACCACGGCGCCUCCCACUCGGUGCAUAAAAACGCCUAUUUCUUGCAUCUCAAAGACAGCUUUUAACGUUACUAACGUUAGUUUACUUGCCUAUGAUAUUCUGUUUGUGCUUCGGAUUGCCAAAUGUGUUAACUACAUUGCUGGGAGGAACCCAGAGUCAACAUAUCCACCCUUUAAAGGACAUGGAGAAAGGGUAACAUCAUGCGCAGUACCGAGAUGAGAGGGCGAAGGAGCAUGUGAAGAUGUCCCUAAAGACUGCUAAAAAAUGGUGCUUUAGACUGUUCGCUGUUGUACUGUUCUUAGUCUCCUACUACUGCUCCCACGUUUUCCUUCAGAGUUAUGGAGGCACCAGCAAGUCUCCUUUGACUCCUAGCAAGUCACUGUGUGGCGGCUGGCUAAAGCAGAAGAAGUGGGAGAGCCUCAAUUUUAACAUUAGCAGACAAACAGAGCUCUUCUUCAAACUGGAUGAUUUCUUCUGGCGACAACAUCAGUCCACAUUAGCGUUGCCCUACGGUAUUAAAGGAAGUGAGUUACUGCUGCUGAGAGUGUUAGCCAUUAUUGCCAAUUACAAAAUGCCGGCCAGCAUUGAUCGUCUAGACUGCAGAACAUGUGCAGUCAUAGGAAAUGGGUUUGCCAUUAAAAACAGCUCCUUGGGGGGCGUCAUCAACGAGUAUGAUGUGGUGAUCCGGCUGAAUGAUGCCCCUGUCAGAGGUUAUGAGGAUGACGUGGGGAACAAGACCACUAUGCGUCUCUUCUACCCUGAGUCGGCCUCCUACAACCCCAGCAUGCACAAUGACCCCGACACCCUCAUGGUCCUAGUGCCUUUCAAACAGCAGGACCUCCGCUGGCUCAAAGAGAUCCUGUACGACGAGAAGAGGGUGAGGAAAGGUUUCUGGAAGCCCCCUCCACAGAUCUGGCUGGGCAGGACCAGUCGCAUCCGGGUGCUGGACCCUCACUUCCUGCAUAGGACGGCCAGCAGUCUGCUACAAAUCCCACUUCAACCAAAGAGCAAACAGCGAGCCCCUGUGUCAGAGACUGAGGCUGUGCACUCUUUGGACUGCUGAAAUGCAAACACAACUGGCUGGUGUCUGUGCCGAGGGAACAGUGGGAAAGUCCUGCAGGCGAUCAGCGGGGCAGCCCGAGCAUAGCACUCCUCCAUCUGCGUGGCCCUACAGGCAAGAUGAGCUCAACCUUGGCUGGCUGUCUCCUGGCUGGCUGGGUGUCUGGCUGGAGGGCGUAGGCUGUUUACUCUGAGCGAGAACAGGAACAGGAACCAUGCCGAGCACUCGAUCCUGGCCCCUUUGCCCUCAUUCCCCUGUCACUUUCCUGGGUCACGGGCCCGACCGCAGCCCCACAUCCCCAAUGCCAAACUCUCACCCCCUCCCUGUGGCUGCCAUGUUGGCAGUCAUCCACAUGCCCUGUGAGAAGGCAGCAGCAGCAGGCAGUCCCCCUGGUUACAAUACAGAGGCUGACUGAGCUGAGGAGAGCUAGAGGGCUAACUAAUGCCCCUGUCGGUCAGACAGCCCCCACCGCCACCCCCUUCCAAAACAAAGGUCCGACUCCCACCAAUCUGGUCUGCUUGGCGAACAGCAGUGACAAUAUUCACCUCACCAAGGCUCCAUGGGCCAAUGUCCAAACUAUGUGAGGCACUACAGAAGUUGGAGCGCUCGGUGACCGACCACAUGAGUCUAAUGCACACAGAAUGUCAGAUUUAGCAGAGCCAGGCUCAGGAAGAAAAGGCACUUAUGCUAAGUGCAUUAGGAACCAGGUUUGGAGGAAUGUCCCGUACAGUGUGAUGAAGAGAGGAGAAGCACAGGUUUGAGAACUUGGUUUCUCCAGUUUCUCUCUCCUUAGGGCACGAGUAAUGGCUGUCCAGGUCAGACAGCAUGCUUGUAAAGCCCUGCAGGAUUCACUGACUGACUCACUCACUGACUCACUGACUGACUCACUCACUCACUCACUCACAUUUACCUUGGAAAGGCUCCUGCACUCAGUAUUGGCCAUUUUGAAGGUUUUAUGUAUUGUUGUUUUAUUUGUAUUUUAUUUGGCUGAUUUAUACUGCAGACCCACAGCACCUCAGUAGGGUUUUAUUGGAAGGAAUUGAGAAAGCAGUAGGCGGGAAUAAUGUGCCUGAACAAGAAGCUUCCUUGGAAAUGGUGGGUAGAUGAGUAAACCAAGGUUAAUGAUUACAUGGAACAGGUAAGGGAGAGUCGGGUAAGUUGAGCCAAAGGGAGAAGUUAAGUCACCCCAUCAUUUCAGUCUGUGAAGGAAGAAACCACAUGGAAAAAGUGGUAAACAACUUAGGGCCUAAAAACGGAUUUUCACCAAGUCAAAUGAAUUUAUUGUGUUAGAGGUUUCACGAUGCUUGUAUCUAAACCAAAGUAGAUACUUUUAAGAUUGUUCUUAAAGGCAUUAUCUCUGGAAUCAAAUCAAAUGCUAUUUGUCAAAUGCGCCGAAUACAACAUACCUUAUAGGGAAAUGCUUACUUACAAGCCCUUAAAAACAAUGCAGUUUGAAGAAAAAUGCCUAAAAAAAAGUAUACAUAAAAUAACAAAUAAUUUAGAGAGCAGCAGUAAAAUAACAAUAGCGAGGCUAUAUACAGGGGGUACCGGUACAGAGUCAAUAUGCGGGGGCACAGGAUAGUUGAGGUAAUUGAGGUAACAUGUAUAUGUAGGUAGAGUUAUUAAAGUGACUAUGCAUAGAUAAUAACAGAGAGUAGCAGCUGCGUAAAAGAGGGGGGGCAAUGCAAAUAGUAAUUUGAUUAGAUGUUCAGGAGUCUUAUAGCUUGGGGGUAGAAGCUGUUUAGAAGCCUCUUGAGCCUAGACUUGGCGCUCCGGUAUGGCUUGCCUUGUGGUAGCAAAGAGAACAGUCUAUGACUAGGGUGGCUAGAGUCUUUGGCAAUUUUUAGGGCCUUCCUCUGACACCGCCUAGUAUAGAGAUCCUGGAUGGCAGGAAGCUUGGCCCCAGUGAUGUACUGGGCCGUACGCACUACCCAUUGUAGUGCCUUGUGGUCAGAGGCCGAGCAGUUGCCAUACCAAGCAGUGAUGCAACCAGUCAGGAUGCUCUCGAUGGUGCAGCUGUAGAACCAUUUGAGGAUCUGAGGACCCAUGCCAAAUCUUUUCUGUCUCCUAAGGGGGAAUAGGUUUUGUCGUGCCCUCUUCAUGACUGCCUUGGUGUACUUGGACCAUGUUAGUUUGCUGGUGAUGUGGACGCCAAAGGAACAAAGCUCUCAACCUGCUCCCCUGCAGCCCUGUCGAUGAGAAGGGGGCGUGCUCGGUCCUCAUUUUCCUGUAUUCCACACUCAUCUCCUUUGUCUGGUUCACGUUGAGGGAGACGUUGUUGUCUUUGCACCACACGGUCAGGUCUCUGACCUUCGCUUAGUGAUUAGCUUUGAGGGCACUAUGGUGUUGAACGCUAAGCUGUAGUCAAUGAAUAGCAUUCUCACAUAGGUGUUGCUUUUGUUGAGGUGUGAAAGGGCAGUGUGGAGUGCAAUAAAGAUAGUACCAUCUGUGGAUCUGUUGGUGCAGUAUGCAAAUUGGAGUGGGUCUAGGGUUUCUGGGAUAAUGGUGUUGUGAGCCAUGAGCAGCCUUUCAAAGCACUUCAUGGCUCCAGGUGUGCUACAGGUCAUAAGUCAUGAGGUAAAAACAGGGCCUGGCCUAUGUGUUUUUCUUUUUAAAUAGAAACUGUUUGUUAGGUCUUAAGCCUGUGUUAAAAUAUUCUUAUAAUGAUUAAAAGACAAAAAGCGUUUUGGAAAUAAAGGUAGACAUGGUUUUAGAAAGGAAGUGGUAAUUAUUUAAUUCCGUACAGACAUUUGUAGGUGGAUUAACCCCAUACCCGUUAUAAAUUGUGCCAAGAGAUAACUUUUCUUUUCAAAACAAAUCAAAUCAAAUGAAAUUUUAUUUGUCACAUACACAUGGUUAGCAGAUGUUAAUGCGAGUGUAGCGAAAUCCUUGUGCUUCUAGUUCCGACAAUGCAGUAAUAACCAUAAUAACCAGCCAGAGUAAUCUAGCUAACAAUUCCAAAACUACUACCUUAUACACAUACGUGUAAAGGGAUAAAGAAUAUGUACAUAAAGAUAUAUGAAUGAGUGAUGGUACAGAGCGGCAUAGGCAAGAUGCAGUAGAUGGUAUCGAGUACAGUAUAUACAUAUGAGAUGAGUAUGUAAACAAAGUGGCAUAGUUUAAAGUGGCUAGUGAUACAUGUAUUACAUAAAGAUGCAGUAGAUGAUAUAGAGUACAGUAUAUACGUAUACAUCUGAGAUAAAUAAUGUAGGGUAUGUAAACAUUAUAUUAAGUGGCAUUGUUUAAAGUGGCUAGUGAUAUAUUUUACAUCAAUCCCAUCAAUUACCAUUAUUAAAGUGGCUGGAGUUGAGUCAGUGUGUUGGCAGCAGCCACUCAAUGUUAGGGGUGGCUGUUUAACAGUCUGAUGGCCUUGAGAUAGAAGCUGUUUUUCAGUCUCUCGGUCCCAGCUUUGAUGCACCUGUACUGACCUCGCCUUCUGGACGAUAGCGGGGUGAACAGGCAGUGGCUCGGGUGGUUGUUGUCCUUGAUGAUCUUUAUGGCCUUCCUGUGACAUCGGGUGGUGUAGGUGUCCUGGAGGGCAGGUAGUUUGCCCCCGGUGAUGCGUUGUGCAGACCUCACUACCCUCUGGAGAGCCUUACGGUUGUGGGCGGAGCAGUUGCCGUACCAGGCGGUGAUACAGCCCGACAGGAUGCUCUCGAUUGUGCAUCUGUAGAAGUUUGUGAGUGCUUUUGGUGACAAGCCAAAUUUCUUCAGCCUCCUGAGGUUGUGUGGGUGGACCAAUUCAGUUUGUCUGUGAUGUGUACGCCGAGGAACUUAAAACUUACUACCCUCUCCACUACUGUUCCAUCGAUGUGGAUAGGGGGGGGGGGGUGUUCCCUCUGCUGUUUCCUGAAGUCCACAAUCAUCUCCUUAGUUUUGUUGACGUUGAGUGUGAGGUUAUUUUCCUGACACCACACUCCGAGGGCCCUCACCUCCUCCCUGUAGGCCGUCUCGUCGUUGUUGGUAAUUGUCACGUAGAGUCGGCCAGAAGGCUAAACUGGAUAACCUAACCUCUAUCAAAAUAAAAAGAUGGCGGAGCCACAAAAGUUCUUCUGUGCAAAGGUGUUUAUUUACAAGUGAUUCCGGAACAAAAAACAACAGUACUGCCAUCAACGUCUACCUUAUGGGACAGCUUACAAACAAUGCUGCCCCAUCCACAGCUCAAUCCAAAAUGCCUCCCCAUGACUGAAAGAGAGGCUCCCUUUUGUAGGGCUAGCCCCUCCCCUCAGAACAAUUAACCCUCAUUAAUUAAUCAAUUAACAAUACAAACCUACAUUUUCCAUGAACUAAACAUACUAAAGGAUAUACAUUGCAACACGGUUUUAAACAAUAUCAAAACAUAACAUUUACAACAUUACAUCACUACUGACAAUAUCUUUCAAUAUGCCCAUAUGCAUUAAUGAGCCAUUUGGGACAGGCACUAUAAAGCCAACCCAAUUCCCUUAGCUCGGGUCCUUUUCCAGCAUACCCGGAAGCUACAGAGAUGGAGAGAGAGGAACAGAACAAACAAACAAUGCGCUCAUCCACAACAUUGAUAAAAACCGGUACACCCCACUACAGGGAUCCUUGCCGUGUUCGUGGCACUCAACUACUGUGAUGUGGUCCACAUAGCUGGGUUUGGAU